UAAUAGGGGGAGACCCAACCCUUAUGUGAACCUACCUAUCGUUGCUUCGGCGGACUCGCCCCAGCCGGACGCGGACUGGACCAGCGGCCGCCGGGGACCAUCAAACUCUUGUAUUAUCAGCAUCUUCUGAAUACGCCGCAAGGCAAAACAAAUAAAUUAAAACUUUCAACAACGGAUCUCUUGGCUCUGGCAUCGAUGAAGAACGCAGCGAAAUGCGAUAAGUAAUGUGAAUUGCGAAUCCAGUGAAUCAUCGAAUCUUUGAACGCACAUUGCGCCCGCCAGCAUUCUGGCGGGAUGCCUGUUCGAGCGUCAUUUCAACCCUCGACCUCCCUUGGGGAAGUCGGCGUUGGGGACCGGCAGCACACCGCCGGCCCUGAAAUGGAGUGGCGGCCCGUCCGCGGCGACCUCUGCGUAGUAAACCAACUCGCACCGGAACCCCGACGUGGCCACGCCGUAAAACACCCAACUUCUGAACGUUGACCUCGAAUCAGGUAGGACUACCCGCUGAACUUAAGCAUAUCAAUAAGCGGAGGAA
rnacentral:rRNA from 1 species